AAGUCGUAACAAGGUUUCCGUAGGUGAACCUGCGGGAGGAUCAUUAACGGACAAAAGAUUUACUUGUAUAAAUCUUUUGGGAUCAACCAAAAACCUGUAAGAAAAUAGUAGUAUUCAAUUCAAUACACUAUAUACAUUAUAAAUAUUACAAAACUUUCAACAACGGAUCUCUUGGCUCUU
rnacentral:misc_RNA from 1 species